CAGUGUAGUAUUUCCAGGAUAGUGGAUGGCUCCUAGUGCACAAUCUUCUUCUGGUUUCCCGCUUUGAGUAACUACUGCCAAGACUACUGUCACCUGCUGGUACGGAAAGGUAUUUCCUACGCAGGCGCAGAACGGACGUGCUAGUUGGCCGUCGGGUGUCGAGAAUCGGCUUGGUGUGUCAGGGCAAAUCUGGACCCAGACGCUGCUGACGUGAGCCGACCCUGCAGUCUGCUUUCGUUGCCACUAGUUCAUCGGCAUCGGCUUGGUGUGUUCCAGGCUUUAAAGCUGCAGAUCUGCAGUGAGCUUGAUUGUACUGUUCUCAAAGGGUUUAAACUUCCAGAGAAAUGUUGGGCUGAAUGUGCUAGAUAAAGUUGGCCAGUGGGUUUCAAAUAAAGUGGGACAUCUUGAACCUUCACUAAUUCACAUUAACUCAUAUUAAUUAAAUACAUUUACAUUCACUGAUUAUUUUAUAAUUUACAUGUAUAACUGAAUGAAAAAAGUUUUACAAUAUUACGUUUUACAUAUUACAUUUUAAAAUGUUUCUCCUAAUCAGUUUUUUGUUAGCCUAUUUUCUGUUGCAUAUGUUAGAGGCAUAUUUUUUAAUAUGCUGUAUAGUAAAGUUAAAUACUCACCUUGUCAUGGCA
ensembl:lncRNA